rnacentral:rRNA from 1 species
GACGAACGCUGGCGGCGUGCUUAACACAUGCAAGUCGAACGCUGAAGCACCAGCUUGCUGGUGUGGAUGAGUGGCGAACGGGUGAGUAAUACGUGAGUAACCUGCCCUUGACUCUGGGAUAAGCCCGGGAAACUGGGUCUAAUACUGGAUGCUACAUGUCACCGCAUGGUGGUGUGUGGAAAGGGUUUACUGGUCUUGGAUGGGCUCACGGCCUAUCAGCUUGUUGGUGAGGUAAUGGCUCACCAAGGCGACGAGGGGUAGCCGGCCUGAGAGGGUGACCGGCCACACUGGGACUGAGACACGGCCCAGACUCAUACGGGCGGAAGCAGUGGGGAAUAUUGCACAAUGGGCGAAAGCCUGAUGCAGCGACGCCGCGUGAGGGAUGACGGCCUCGGGUUGUAAACCUCUUUCAGCAGGGAAGAAGCCACAAGUGACGGUACCUGCAGAAGAAGCGCCGGCUAACUACGU